GAACGAAUCUAAUCACUGAUCUACAAGAAGUUUCGGCUCGCAAGAUUUGAACAGAAAUCUAAACGCAGAAAGUGAAAAGACACAUGGAUUUGUUGACGUUGUUCUAAGAAAAAUCCUACUCAGCGGAGCCUUAGAGAUGGAAGACUCAACCUGAAUCCACUAUCAGCAGAGAGCACUCAAGUUCAGAUUACAGAACCGGAAGAAAAACCCAAGACCUAAUCCUAGAACAACCAAAGAACUCAAACAAUCUAACAACGAUACAGAGAAGAUACUCAAAGGGAUUCGACCCCCUUCAGGUUGAGGAACUUCUCCCGGAAGUUCCCCGAGUAGUGAUCGGAGCACAGACCGGGGCCGGAGAUCUUCAUAUCGCCGUCAAAUGCUUUGUCUUCUUCUUUAUAGUUGAGAGACAGAGAGCUAGGAUUUUUGGAAUGGAUGAUCAGACUCUAUCUUCAGAAUAUCACCUCUGUCCCUUUAUAUAUGAAGUGACUGAGGAUAGAGCGCACCGUUUCAAUAAUCUGCAAGAGAACACAAGACAAACACAACAAACCGGGCGAUCAAGGAAUUUAACUGGUUCACCAAUCUAAACUUGAUUCGGUUUGAUUGCUAAUAGAAUUAUAACACCCUAUAUUGAGGAACCGUUGGGGGAAAGUGAGAGCAAUAGUAAUAUUGACCAGCCACCACCCACUGUUGUGAAUGAUGGUGGAUCAACUGCGGCUGCUCGUGAAGGUGAUGGUGAUGCAGAUGAUGAAGCUGAGCUAAGUGAUGUUGAUCUUGAAGGACUCGUUAACGAUACAAAAAUCAACCCUAAUGAUAG
rnacentral:lncRNA from 1 species